CUCUGCCAUCCCCUAUGCCUUUGGACAGGUGAAUAAACAAGUUCUAUUUUCUGAUAAAGAUAGCAACUUCAGAUUUAAAUUCAGUUCCUCGUAUUCAUGAAAACUUCCUAUAUUUGCAGGUUGCCAUUGAAAUCCCUUACAUAUUUGUACAAUCUGUGUUUUAUGGUAUCAUCGUCUAUGCUAUGAUUGGAUUCGAAUGGGAUGUUGGCAAGUUCUUUUGGUACUUGUUCAUCAUGUUUUUCACCCUUUUGUACUUUACAUUCUACGGUAUGAUGAGUGUGGCUGUCACACCAAACCAAAAUGUGGCUUCGAUUGUUGCUGCCUUCUUCUAUGGUGUAUGGAAUCUCUUCUCAGGAUUCAUCAUUCCACGACCAGUAAGAUCCUCAAACUCUUAUAUCCUAGUUAUAAGAUACAAAUGUAAAAUUGAUCAAUAGCUCGAAAAAAUAACCUUUUUCUUUUCGUUUUUUUUCCUACAGCGUAUGCCUGUAUGGUGGAGAUGGUACUACUGGGCUAACCCUGUUGCAUGGACCUUGUAUGGUUUGGUUGCAUCACAAUUCGGAGACAUCCAAACGAAACUAUCUGAUAAUGAAACCGUGAAACAAUUCUUGAGACGUUUCUUUGGCUUUAGGCAUGAUUUUCUUGGAGUUGUUGCAGC
rnacentral:lncRNA from 1 species